CCUACGGGUGGCCGCAGUGGGGAAUAUUGCACAAUGGGGGCAACCCUGAUGCAGCGACGCCGCGUGAGUGAAGAAGUACUUCGGGAUGUAAAGCUCUAUCAGCAGGGAAGAAGAAAGACGGUACCUGACUAAGAAGCACCGGCUAACUACGUGCCAGCAGCCGCGGUAAUACGUAGGGGGCAAGCGUUAUCCGGAAUUACUGGGUGUAAAGGGAGCGUAGACGGCUGUGCAAGUCUGAAGUGAAAGCCCAGGGCUCAACCCGGGGACUGCUUUGGAAACUGUGAAGCUAGAGUGUUGUAGAGGUGGGUGGAAUUCCAGGUGUAGCGGUGAAAUGCGUAGAGAUUAGGAGGAACACCAGUGGCGAAGGCGGCUUACUGGACAGUGACUGACGUUGAGGCUCGAAAGCGUGGGGAGCAAACAGGAUUAGAUACCCCUGUAGUC
rnacentral:rRNA from 1 species